GUAUAUUAUUUUAUAUUCCAACAUUCUAAACAUAUUCAGAGGUUGUGAAGGUAAACAUAGACCUGGAAAGGCAAGGAAAAGCUGGCUGAAGCACAGCAGUCCUCAAUCUAUAUCAAAUAAUCAGAAGAAUUCCAGGCCUACAAUAUGUGCACAGUGGGGGAAAAGUAAAGAUGACAAGUGUGCACAUGCUCAGUGGAGCCAGCAACAACCUGAUCAAGUUUAUUCAAUAAUGAUCCUUCCGCAGGUUCACCUACGGAAA
rnacentral:misc_RNA from 1 species